GGAGGCUACAGAGAGGAAACAGAUUUUUUUCAGGUUUAUCCUUUAUAAACACAGACACAGAUACGUACUUCCUUUGCAUAUAAGAGUAUUUUAUUCAGGUGGGUAUACUCACCAUACCUGAGGCUAUGAAGAGGUCUUUUACUUUUCCAAAUGAAGCUAAAAGGCAAACACACACACACAAACAACCUCAGGGGUAAACAUUCUGGUGAUGAAAGACAAUACUUGUGAUUGGUCAUUUUUUCUUCUAGCUGCAUUAAGCUCAUUCUCACCGUCAGUUAUUACUGGCUGUACCCACCAAUCAGAGAUCUCAGUUAGGGGCUGGAGAUGGGGUCCACUCUAAUGUUUAAGAACAGUAUCUGAUAAAAAGGAAAAAAAGACAAAACAUUGGGUUAUCUAUUAUAUGUUGCUAAGAUAACCUUGAUGUUCCUUUUGUAUUUCUAACUACAAAUUAACCGUUCUGGAUGGUUGACAAAACAAUUGUUUGUCCGUGCAAACCACUUUGUGAUCCUGUGUGAUGGAAUUUAUGACAGGUAAGACCUGGUCUGAGCUUCACUGGGAAGAGAAAAUGAAUGGCCGUAGGUUGGGUUCAGUCAGUUCAGGCCAACAACCAAAGAAAGUUCCAGAGCAACACACAGUAAGAACGUUCCAAAUGUGACGGUGUUUCUCUUGGUUCAGUGGCCUCUCAGAUACCUGUCCAUUAGUUUAAUUUGCUGAGGAAGUCAUGUGGCUGUGUCCAAAGAACACACCCAUUAUGGCAUACGUUCCACAGAUGCCAGCACAGAGUGUUUGUACUGUUUGUAACCGUGUGUUUUCUGUUUACUGCAGCUCAGCGUAUCAUCCGUGCCAAGUGUUGUGAUCUGAUCCAUCUUGGCUGGAACUCGAGGGUUGAGCUGAUGGGUAAUGACUUCAUGUGUCAUCCCAAUACACCAUGAAAAAUGUUCUUUGGACUGUUUACAUGGCAGGGCAUGAUGGGUAGAAAUGAAUUCAUCCCUGGUGUUUCUGAGGGGUUAACCAUGUGACUAAAUGUACAAUAUCCUCACAAACAUGUUGUUGUGUUCUAGCCCCAAGUACCACGAGUCCAAGAACAUCGUCACAGAACAGAACACUCACAGUGCAACGGGAAGAGUUUGGAGUGAUCACCAAAAAGACUGGAAAACACACAUAUGCAUAAUGUAUUCAUAAUGUUGGAUGUGUCUAUAUUUGGCUAACUGGUUGGCUAAACGGUAGCUACUUUUAGGCUAACCUACAAGACAGAUGGAUAAGUAGAUGUGACAUAAGGUUUAGAGCAGAGCACUCAAACUCAAAUUCAAAUUCAAAGGCACAAAAGCAAUAAUACGUUGUUUUUCUUAUUCAUAUUCGUUUUUAUAUGUUGAAUUUCGAGGAUCAAGUUGAUUUACUACAAUUAAUGUCAAUAUGUAAAUACAUGGGACAACAUGAAUUAUAAUCCAGAAAACAGAAAAGACUGUGGAGUGUUUUAGAGGUGGAAUAAAAAAAAACCUCCCUCAUGAUCAAGUACGUCAGAUGGCGUUUCUGAACGUUCUAGUCAAAUGGAACCAACAUUCAUCUUAUUUCAUUCUUAAAUUUCACACUAUUUUUGGCCUCAGUCAAAGUCUGGCAGUAACGCUGUACCGAUUCCCUGAAGGGGAAAAAAAUCAGAACAACUGUCCACGUCAGGAUGGUCUGAGGGUGUACAGUAACAAGGCCUUCCCUGUGUUUCGUACCGGUACAGUCUGAACUUCUCACAUGUCCGUCAACACAUCAUUUCCAUAGAGCCAUUACAACAAAGACACAAUGACAGCAGUUAUAAACACAAUGGACACUUAAGCUUCUUUACAGUUAGUCCAGUUGCUGCUGGCGCAACGUGGAGCACUGUGACACGUUUGUUAUGAUGAUCAUAAAACAGCAGAUCAGUGAUGUCAUAAUCACAUGAUCAAGACGUAACCUUUGCUUCUGCUGCAGAGGCUGAUGGGAUGGAUUUCAGUUUUGCUGACUCAAAAUAAACUGCAAUAAAGAUGACAUUUUUUGUCUUACUGGCUAACUGUGGUUUGUCAGGUUACUGUGCAUUGACUACAGGUGUCAAUGCAGCCUCCUAGAACUGGCCCUAGAUCCUCCCACCACUCUUAAAAAUAUGGAAGAGAUGGAAAAGAAGGAGGUAUCUGAUUCAACUCUAUUGGUCAGAAAAACAAACAAAGAUGCUCUUGUUUUGUAUCUGUGCUGGGCCUUCUGUCCAACUGCGCUACAGGGUCUCAGGCUGGUAGAUCUAUGUAGAUCAGCCCGUGUUUCCAUAUGAAAUGUUUUAUUGCUGUAAAGCUCUGCUCACCUUCUAUGAAAGUUUAACUUUAUUCAUAAAUAUUUUUAACCUUAUUUAAAAAAAAGUUUAUUGGUAUGUUGGUAUGUAAUAAUAAUUAAAGAUAUUUUAAUUAAAAUAGAAAUAUGUGUAUACAAUCCUAUGCUAACUCAUAAUAAUAAUAAUAAUAAUAACAGUAAUAAUUUUAAAGACAAGUUUAAAGAAAAGAGAAUACGGAGGAUUUGGUUGGAUCUAAAGCCAAACACUGAUUCUCUAUGAGCUGAACCUUCAACCAGUUCUUUUCCACAUUUCAGCAACAGACACAACAUUAUUGAAUUCUUGAAACCAAUUAACUUUUGUAAGAUAGAGUGACAAAAAUCAAGGUUACAUCUUAAAAACAUAAGAUAUUUACUCCCUCACACGCACUAUCAGCUACCGUCUGUCAGCAGCUUUGGACUUGGUGAACUCGUGAUGCCUUUUUGCAUGGAUCACACCAAACACUGGGAUGAAAGCAUAUUUUCACGACCAUCAACAUUUGUUUGCUACAGCGUGACUGUGUGUGUGACUAAGACGGACAUCACUGUCUCUUUUUACUACAGUACAAACUGGUCUGCAGACACCGAGCUGCUGAAGGUGAGAGAGGGAAACAAAAUGUUUCUCAUGUCACAUUUACAGCUGCUGGACGCGGUCACAUGCUCCAGGCUAACGUUUCCAGGAACCUGCUCCCUGUUACUGUUGAAGAGUUUGGUGGUACUAAACUGUUUCUGUCUCUGUGUGUCUGUGUCACUUCAAGGACACGGUGUUUGCAUUCAAUGCACGUUGAUUAUCAGCAUUGUCAGUGACCUUGUUCACAGCUGAUCAGCAGAGCGGUGCACACAGUCAGUCACACUUAUCAGUUAGCACUGAUGUGGUGCAUCCUGGUACACUGUGUCCCUGGGUUAACCACAGAUGAAGGUAACAGUAAUCUCCCACUUGGACACAAGUGGAAAAAAUCGCAAUAUCUGUGCUCUAUGGUGUGUAUACAGUAUAUAUAUGGUACAUAUAUAUUUAUAUAUACCGUAGAGAUAACCUGGUAUACUUUACACUUUAGUAUGUAGAAUUAGAGGAUCAGACAUUCUUGGUAAUACAGUUGCUCCUGCAUGAGUAGUAUAAAAAACAGCAAGAGUCUUAUUGCAUAGCAAAAGAAAUGGAGGGAUUUUUUUUUUAAAAAAAAUCACAAAACCCACAAGUUUAAUAGGUUUAUAACUACAAGUUUGAUAUCAGUGUAAAUGUACACUUUUACUGUGAUGAGGGGGACAUCAGGCGUUACAGAGGGUGAGGCUCUGGGCAGGAAUGACUUCAUGUGGGUCAACUAGGGGGAAUGACUUUUUUCCUGAAGCGUGGACUGGAUGUGACCCACUGUCAAAGACGAACCAGAGCUUUGACAGCCUUCUCCUCCCCGACACUAACAUCACAGUCUGAUCUGAAGCCGAUGAUGACGUCAGAGCACGGCCUCUGUAUAAUGUUUACGGAAACAAAAAUCAAGUCUUAUUUCCAUAUCAGAUGCGUGUCGUCUUGAAAAGCAACAACACACACACACAUUUUGAGAUGGUUGUCCCUUCACCCCAACUGCUCUCUGAUUAAUAACCUGAGCCUCUGCCAGUUGGACUGCAGUGUCGGUGCCCAGAGCUCAAUACAAUGUCCACAUGUCAUCAUCAGAGAUUCAUUUCAACCAAGAGUAAAAAAAAGAAAACGCAGCAGCAGUUUGUUUCGUCUCCUGUCGUCCUCCACUCAUAACAGUCUAAAAUGGAGGACUGCACCUCGUCCUCUCCACGGACAGACUACAUUUCUGAGCAAUACUCAAGGUUUCUGUAGAUAUGAUGGUCGUCAGGUACUGAGCCCGGAGGCUAAAGCCGUGGCCAGUGGCCGAGCGGCCUCAACACAAAGACACAUCUGUGUCAGGAAUUCUGGUUUAAAUUUAUGACAGCGGCUGCUCCGUAAAGUCUUCCUCUACCAAAAUAGACCGACCCACAUCUUGUGUCUGUGGCCUUUUUAGGCUCUCUGUACAAUCACGUCUGUGUGUCACAAGGGCACAGAGACGACCCCACCCUGAUGAAAGGUCACCUCUGACCCAAUCAUAAUGAUCAAAGAAAUUGAUAAGGAUUGUUGUAUCUGAAUAAAUCCUGGCAGUAAACAGGAGGGUGGUCGGGGGUGGGGGUGAGGGUGGGGGUCCACCUCUACAUCCAGGUCAGCCCAGUCAUUACAGUGAAUCACUCCUAUUUAAAAAUCAGAGGCUCAACAUUGGCACAGGGCCAUCUGUUGGAGAUUAUCUGGUUGCCGAGGCUUGUGUUACACUAAUGUUGGAGCAAAUUUAGCUGCAGCUGGGGGCUGGUGGGGGAGAGGGAGGAGAGACGAUGAUUACAUAACCCCAACAGGGUGAUGGAAUUUACAUAUCCACCUGGAAAUCCACUUUUUUCUACUGUAA